rnacentral:lncRNA from 1 species
GAUUUCUGCUCUGAUUUUCAUAUUUCUUGCUACCAAUUGGAUUGGUUGGUUUGGUUUGGUCUGGUUUGAUUUGGUGGUUUUUGUUUUUUUUUUUUUUUCUUUGAGACAUGGCUUCUUUCUGUAUUCUUGGCUGUCCUGGAACUCACUCUGUAGACCAGGCUGGACAGAGAUCCACCUGCCUCUGCCUCCCAAGCUCAGAGAUUAAAGGCGUGCUCCAGGACCACCUGGUAUCUUUCAGAUUUUUUAAUAUAGGCACUUAGAUUUAUAAAUUUACCUCAUAGGACAAUAUGUCCCAGAGGUUUUAUUGUAUUCUGUUUACAUUUUCAUUUAGUUUUAGGACUUUCCUUUAUGUCUUGAUUUCUGUUUGACCCAUUCAUCAUUCAGUAAUGAGUUGCUUGAUCUCCAUGAAUCUGUGUGUUCACUAGAGAUUUGUUUGCUGCCAAUUUUAAUUUCUAUUGCAUUGUGGCAAGAUAGCACACAAGGAGUGAGUUCAGUCUGUUGUCAUUCAUAAAGAUUUGUUUCAUGUCUCAGGAUGUAGUCUGGUUUAGAAAGCCUCUAUGUGCUGCUAAAUAGAAUGUAUAUUGGGGGAGGGGGACUGGAGAUAUUGUUCGGCAGUUAAGAGCACUGACUGUUCUUCCAAAGGUCCUGAGUUCAAAUCCUAGCAACCACAUGGUGGCUCACGGCCAUCCUUAACAAGAUCUGACCCCCUCUUCUGGAGUAUCUGAAGACAGCUACAGUGUACUUACAUAUAAUAAAUAAAACUUAAAAAGGGUGGAAUUUUCUCUAGAUACCUGUUAAAUUCCACUUGAUAUAUCAGUUAAUUCUGAUGUUUACCUUUUUUUUUUUUUGUCCAGAUGACCCAUCUAUUAGAGAAAAUGGGAUAUUGAAAUGGAGUACUCACUAUUAAUGAGAAUUAAUGUGUGUCUCUAAACCCAGUAAUAGAUUUUUAAUGAAAUUUGGUGCCUCAGAUAUGUUUGAUGAAUAUAUGUUUAAGAUAGUAAUGCCUUUUUGAGUAGUUGUUCCCUUGAUUAGAAUGAAAGAUACCUCUUUCUCUCUUCUGAUUAGUUUUAGUUUAAAGUCUGUUUCUCAUAAAUUAAUAUAAUGGUGCUUGCUUGCUUCCUUCCGAUCCCAUUUGAUAAAGUAUUUUUAUCUAUCCUUUACUCUAACAUGGUGCCUGUCUUAAAAUAUAAGGUGUUUUUGUGUUUUCUUGGCUAUCAAUGAGAAGAAUAACCUUAAGCAUUUUCCUUAAUAUCAAGUUGUUUAUUUUUGUCUUCUUUAAACUCCUUGAAUUCUUUGAUGAAGUUUAUAUAUAUAUUUUUUUAAAUUCUGUAUCUUGUAUUUCAUUUGGGUGAUUCCUGUAGGGUUUGUAGGAUUUAGAGAGAAGGUACUGGCAUAAUCUUUUAUAUUGUUGGUAUUUUUGUGAUGAGAUCUGUGCACACAGACUUCUUUUGUUAGUUCUGAGUCUGUUAUGGACAAAGCAGGUUUGAGGCAAAAGAGAAGAUAUUUAGAUGUUUUGGGCCUAAAGAUUGGAAAUGGCUUGGGUGGGAUAAAGUCAGGUAGACUUGGAGGGGGGGAAGUGGGAGGAGGGACUGGACUGGGAUGGUAUGAACAAUGUGCUUCCUGGUCUGAGCCUGGAGGGUGGGACUAGACCUGCCUGGGUGGAAAGGUUGGCUAUGGCAUGGGUGUGUUCUGUGGUUUGAGGGAAGGUCCUGGCAGAAGCCUAGAGAUCUUUUGUAGUACAGGCAGGGGAGGCCAGACUAGGCUUGGUGCACUGGGUGUUGGACCCAGGCUAGAUCUGGUGGGUUGUAGAAAAGGUAUGUUUGAGGAAUAUCAAGGGGAGGUCUCGAUACCAAGUGGGGUGAUUGCAAGUGGCACAGAAACCACUUGUAGGUGGUUUGACUCCUGGGAAACGUAGAGGUUGACUUAAGCAACAGGGGAGGUUGGUUACAUUAGACAGGGACAAAUAGGAUGUGGGACUCAGCAGAAGCCUAGAGCUUGGGUACUGCACAGUCAGUGGUCUAGGCUGGGCCACUGGUUAUGGGACCUGGGCUAGAUCUUGUGGGUUGUAGUAAAGGCAUAGAUAGGGAGGAUGGGGAAGAGGAAGGAGGACAAUUUACUGAGUUAGACCCUACAUGAGGAUGUGAGUAUUCUUUUUGCGUGCUUUUAAAUAUGGCUUUAUUGAGUUAGAGGCCACUCUAGCCUACAGAGUGAGUUCCAAAGCUCCAUGGAAAAACCCUGUCUCAAAAAAAGAACGAACGAACGA